rnacentral:rRNA from 1 species
UUAAGCGACUAAGCGUACACGGUGGAUGCCCUGGCAGUCAGAGGCGAUGAAGGACGUGCUAAUCUGCGAUAAGCGUCGGUGAGGUGAUAUGAACCGUUAUAACCGGCGAUUUCCGAAUGGGGAAACCCAGUGUGUUUCGACACACUAUCAUUAACUGAAUCCAUAGGUUAAUGAGGCGAACCGGGGGAACUGAAACAUCUAAGUACCCCGAGGAAAAGAAAUCAACCGAGAUUCCCCCAGUAGCGGCGAGCGAACGGGGAGGAGCCCAGAGCCUGAAUCAGUGUGUGUGUUAGUGGAAGCGUCUGGAAAGGCGCGCGAUACAGGGUGACAGCCCCGUACACAAAAAUGCACAUACUGUGAGCUCGAUGAGUAGGGCGGGACACGUGGUAUCCUGUCUGAAUAUGGGGGGACCAUCCUCCAAGGCUAAAUACUCCUGACUGACCGAUAGUGAACCAGUACCGUGAGGGAAAGGCGAAAAGAACCCCGGCGAGGGGAGUGAAAAAGAACCUGAAACCGUGUACGUACAAGCAGUGGGAGCCUCUUAAUGGGGUGACUGCGUACCUUUUGUAUAAUGGGUCAGCGACUUAUAUUCUGUAGCAAGGUUAACCGAAUAGGGGAGCCGAAGGGAAACCGAGUCUUAACUGGGCGUUAAGUUGCAGGGUAUAGACCCGAAACCCGGUGAUCUAGCCAUGGGCAGGUUGAAGGUUGGGUAACACUAACUGGAGGACCGAACCGACUAAUGUUGAAAAAUUAGCGGAUGACUUGUGGCUGGGGGUGAAAGGCCAAUCAAACCGGGAGAUAGCUGGUUCUCCCCGAAAGCUAUUUAGGUAGCGCCUCGUGAAUUCAUCUCCGGGGGUAGAGCACUGUUUCGGCAAGGGGGUCAUCCCGACUUACCAACCCGAUGCAAACUGCGAAUACCGGAGAAUGUUAUCACGGGAGACACACGGCGGGUGCUAACGUCCGUCGUGAAGAGGGAAACAACCCAGACCGCCAGCUAAGGUCCCAAAGUCAUGGUUAAGUGGGAAACGAUGUGGGAAGGCCCAGACAGCCAGGAUGUUGGCUUAGAAGCAGCCAUCAUUUAAAGAAAGCGUAAUAGCUCACUGGUCGAGUCGGCCUGCGCGGAAGAUGUAACGGGGCUAAACCAUGCACCGAAGCUGCGGCAGCGACACUAUGUGUUGUUGGGUAGGGGAGCGUUCUGUAAGCCUGUGAAGGUGGCCUGUGAGGGUUGCUGGAGGUAUCAGAAGUGCGAAUGCUGACAUAAGUAACGAUAAAGCGGGUGAAAAGCCCGCUCGCCGGAAGACCAAGGGUUCCUGUCCAACGUUAAUCGGGGCAGGGUGAGUCGACCCCUAAGGCGAGGCCGAAAGGCGUAGUCGAUGGGAAACAGGUUAAUAUUCCUGUACUUGGUGUUACUGCGAAGGGGGGACGGAGAAGGCUAUGUUGGCCGGGCGACGGUUGUCCCGGUUUAAGCGUGUAGGCUGGUUUUCCAGGCAAAUCCGGAAAACCAAGGCUGAGGCGUGAUGACGAGGCACUACGGUGCUGAAGCGACAAAUGCCCUGCUUCCAGGAAAAGCCUCUAAGCAUCAGGUAACAUCAAAUCGUACCCCAAACCGACACAGGUGGUCAGGUAGAGAAUACCAAGGCGCUUGAGAGAACUCGGGUGAAGGAACUAGGCAAAAUGGUGCCGUAACUUCGGGAGAAGGCACGCUGAUAUGUAGGUGAAGCGACUUGCUCGUGGAGCUGAAAUCAGUCGAAGAUACCAGCUGGCUGCAACUGUUUAUUAAAAACACAGCACUGUGCAAACACGAAAGUGGACGUAUACGGUGUGACGCCUGCCCGGUGCCGGAAGGUUAAUUGAUGGGGUUAGCGGCAACGCGAAGCUCUUGAUCGAAGCCCCGGUAAACGGCGGCCGUAACUAUAACGGUCCUAAGGUAGCGAAAUUCCUUGUCGGGUAAGUUCCGACCUGCACGAAUGGCGUAAUGAUGGCCAGGCUGUCUCCACCCGAGACUCAGUGAAAUUGAACUCGCUGUGAAGAUGCAGUGUACCCGCGGCAAGACGGAAAGACCCCGUGAACCUUUACUAUAGCUUGACACUGAACAUUGAGCCUUGAUGUGUAGGAUAGGUGGGAGGCUUUGAAGUGUGGACGCCAGUCUGCAUGGAGCCGACCUUGAAAUACCACCCUUUAAUGUUUGAUGUUCUAACGUUGGCCCGUAAUCCGGGUUGCGGACAGUGUCUGGUGGGUAGUUUGACUGGGGCGGUCUCCUCCUAAAGAGUAACGGAGGAGCACGAAGGUUGGCUAAUCCUGGUCGGACAUCAGGAGGUUAGUGCAAUGGCAUAAGCCAGCUUGACUGCGAGCGUGACGGCGCGAGCAGGUGCGAAAGCAGGUCAUAGUGAUCCGGUGGUUCUGAAUGGAAGGGCCAUCGCUCAACGGAUAAAAGGUACUCCCGGGGAUAACAGGCUGAUACCGCCCAAGAGUUCAUAUCGACGGCGGUGUUUGGCACCUCGAUGUCGGCUCAUCACAUCCUGGGGCUGAAGUAGGUCCCAAGGGUAUGGCUGUUCGCCAUUUAAAGUGGUACGCGAGCUGGGUUUAGAACGUCGUGAGACAGUUCGGUCCCUAUCUGCCGUGGGCGCUGGAGAACUGAGGGGGGCUGCUCCUAGUACGAGAGGACCGGAGUGGACGCAUCACUGGUGUUCGGGUUGUCAUGCCAAUGGCACUGCCCGGUAGCUAAAUGCGGAAGAGAUAAGUGCUGAAAGCAUCUAAGCACGAAACUUGCCCCGAGAUGAGUUCUCCCUGAGACUUAGAGUCUCCUGAAGGAACGUUGAAGACGACGACGUUGAUAGGCCGGGUGUGUAAGCGCAGCGAUGCGUUGAGCUAACCGGUACUAAUGAACCGUGAGGCUUAACCUU